AUUGAACGCUGGCGGCAGGCCUAACACAUGCAAGUCGAACGAGUGGCGGCCGGGUGAGUAAUGUCUGGUGAACUGCCCGAUGUACGGGGAUACCUACUGGAAACGGUAGCUAAUACCGCAUACCAUCGGAUGUGCCGAGAGGGGAUUAGCUAGUAGGUGGGGUAACGGCUCACCUAGGCGACGCUCCCCAGCUGGUCUGAGAGGAUGAUGGGCCACACUGGGACUGAGAGACGGCCCAGACGCCUACGGGAGGCAGCGGUGGGGAAUAUGGGACAAUGGGCGCAAGCCUGAUGCACCCAUGCCGCGUGUAUGAAGAAGGCCUUAGGGUUGUAAAGUACUUUCAGUCGGGAGGCGGUACCGACAGAAGAAGCACCGGCUAACUCCGUGCCAGCAGCCGCGGUAAUUC
rnacentral:rRNA from 1 species